rnacentral:ncRNA from 2 species
AGGUAAGACCAAGGGAGCCUGACCAGGCUGAGAGGAGGCGCAAGCUUCGACCUUUGAACUUGAUUUGGGUAAUCCCAACGUAAGGAGGAGAGAAAGAGUAUGU